rnacentral:rRNA from 1 species
AGAGUUUGAUUCUGGCUCAGAACGUACGCUGGCGGCACGCCUAACACAUGCAAGUCGAACGAAGUAGCAAUACUUAGUGGCAGACGGGUGAGUAACAUGUAGGUAUCUACCCUUUGGCCUGGAAUAACACGAGGAAACUUGUGCUAAUACCGGAUAAGUCUUUACGGAGAAAGCUUUAUGCACCAUUGGAUGAGCCUGCACUUGAUUAGUUUGUUGGUAGGGUAAUGGCCUACCAAGACUAUGAUCAAUAGCUGAUUUGAGAGGAUGAUCAGCCACAUUGGGACUGAGACACGGCCCAAACUCCUACGGGAGGCAGCAGUGGGGAAUCUUGCACAAUGGAGGAAACUCUGAUGCAGCGAUGCCGCGUGAGUGAAGAAGGCCUUUGGGUUGUAAAGCUCUUUCGUCGGGGAAGAAAAUGACUGUACCCGAAUAAGAAGGUCCGGCUAACUUCGUGCCAGCAGCCGCGGUAAUACGAAGGGACCUAGCGUAGUUCGGAAUUACUGGGCUUAAAGAGUUCGUAGGUGGUUGAAAAAGUUGGUGGUGAAAUCCCAGAGCUUAACUCUGGAACUGCCAUCAAAACUUUUCAGCUAGAGUUUGAUAGAGGAAAGCAGAAUUUCUAGUGUAGAGGUGAAAUUCGUAGAUAUUAGAAAGAAUACCAAUUGCGAAGGCAGCUUUCUGGAUCAUUACUGACACUGAGGAACGAAAGCAUGGGUAGCGAAGAGGAUUAGAUACCCUCGUAGUCCAUGCCGUAAACGAUGUGUGUUAGACGUUGGAAAUUUAUUUUCAGUGUCGCAGCGAAAGCGAUAAACACACCGCCUGGGGAGUACGACCGCAAGGUUAAAACUCAAAUGAAUUGACGGGGACCCGCACAAGUAGUGGAGCAUGUGGUUUAAUUCGAAGAUACGCGCAGAACCUUACCAACACUUGACAUGUUCGUCGCGACUUUAAGAGAUUAAAGUUUUCGGUUCGGCCGGACGAAACACAGGUGCUGCAUGGCUGUCGUCAGCUCGUGUCGUGAGAUGUUGGGUUAAGUCCCGCGACGAGCGCAACCCUCACUUUUAGUUGCCAUCAUUAAGUUGGGCACUCUGAAAGAACUGCCAGUGAUAAGCUGGAGGAAGGUGGGGAUGACGUCAAGUCCUCAUGGCCCUUACGUGUUGGGCUACACACGUGCUACAAUGGUAUCUACAACAGGAAGCAAAACGGCGACGUUAAGCAAAUCCUUAAAAGAUACCUCAGUUCGGAUUGUACUCUGCAACUCGAGUACAUGAAGCUGGAAUUACUAGUAAUCGUGGAUCAGCGUGCCACGGUGAAUGCGUUCCCGGGUCUUGUACACACCGCCCGUCACACCAUGGGAGUUGGUUCUACCUUAAGGCAAGGUUUAAAACCCUUGACCACGGUAUAGUCAGCGACUGGGGUGAAGUCGUAACAAGGUAACCAAGGG